CAAACAUGCAAGUCUAGGGUGUAGCAAUACUCACCGGCGGACGGGUGCGUAACACAGUGGAAUGUACCUACUGGUUCGGAACAACGCAGGGAAACUUGCGCUAAUACCGGAUAAGCCCUUCGGGGGAAAGAUUUAUCGCCAGUAGAUCAGCCCGCGUCCGAUUAGCUAGUUGGUGAGGUAACGGCUCACCAAGGCGACGAUCGGUAGCUGUUCUGAGAGGAAGAUCAGCCACACUGGGACUGAGACACGGCCCAGACUCCUACGGGAGGCAGCAGUUGGGAAUCUUGGACAAUGGGGGAAACCCUGAUCCAGCCAUGCCGCGUGAGUGAUGAAGGCCUUCGGGUUGUAAAACUCUUUCGACGGGGACGAUAAUGACGGUACCCGUAGAAGAAGCU
rnacentral:rRNA from 1 species